GUUAUAUCAAUAUAAUUGACAAUAAUAAUUUUAUUUCCUAAUUAAAUAAGUAUAGCUUUGAUUUUUUAUAAUAUACGUAAGACAUAUAUAAAAUUGCAUUAAGUAUACGAUUGAUUCUCAAAAUGAGACUUUAAAAAGCUAAUCCUCUCAUAUUUUUCAAAAUCUACUAUAGGAUAAGUGAUUUUAUUAUAAGUGAUUUUGAAAAUUUUAUCAAAUACCAAAAUUAACUUUUAUUUCUUUAAAAUCAUUUUUGAGUUUCUCUAAAACAAUCUCGGACAAACUUUUCAUGUCUUAUUCGCCCUUUCUCACUCUUUGCAAAUGAGAUGGUAACUUAAUUUUACCAUAUUAGGUUAGUACGUUUGACUGACGUACUUGGUUAAAAGGUAAAUUGAAUUUAUCUAAAUAAGUAAACUUAACGAAAGUUAAUGCAUGCCUGAGAGAAUGUUAAUGACAGAGUUAAUAGUAACCAUAUUAUUAUUUUAUAUCGCUAUUUAUUUACAAGAAAUAGUUAAUUAAUUACUCCACCGGAUACAUGAAUAUCAAAACCUGUCUAAUUUACUAAAACAAUUGAUGGAUACCAUCUAAAUAGCUUUUCAUUAUCAACGUGUAUUAGAUUAAGGUGGCGUUUGUUUUUUAACUUAAUGACUUAAAGUGACUUAACUUAAUUAAUUAAGUUAAUUAGAGGUGUUUGUUUUUAUAACUUAAUGAGACUUUUUAGAUAAUUUUGACUUAAUAAAAUUAGCCAAUUUUUUUAGCUUUUUACUUAAUGGAGAAAUUUGAAUUAAGUCAAUUACUUACUAAUGUCAAAAAUAUCCAUGUUUUAUAAUUUAUUUUUCAUGUUUAUCCCAAAACUCACCCAUAGACAUUUAUCCCACAUAAAAAUAUCCUUAUUUUUUCUUUCUUAUAUUAUAUACGAUAAAAAUUAAAAUUUAUGGUAUUUUAUAUAUAAAAAUUCCAAAAUAAUUAUGUAUUCACUUGAAUAUAGUUUUACUUAUAAAUAUUAAAACAUUGUGGUAUUUAAUAUAUUAUUUAUUUGACAUUCAAAUUUAAUAAGGAUACAAAAGUAAAAGUACAUAUUUUCAGCUUUUUCAGUUGAAAAAAAUAAAUAAUUUAAUACUUAUUUUCUGAGAUUCAGAUGAAAAAACAAACAUGUUAUUCGGAUUCAGACAUUCAGAUCUAUUCAGAAUUCAGACUAAUUCAGGUCUAUUCAGAUUUCAGACAAAAAAACAAACGCCACCUAAGUUACGAGUUCACGUAGAAUAAUAUUAUUUGUACUAGAAAUAGUAUAAAAUUUAGUACAAAAUAUUAAAAAAAUUAUUUUGUAACGAAUUUCUCUUUUAUCUUGUAGUGUUUAUAUUAUAAUAAUAAUAAUAAUCAUAAUAAUAAUGUGCUGUUUUUCUUCACACACACACACAUCAGUACAUCACUGUUAGUUGACAUAUCAUUGCAUGCAUAAGUUCAAAAUGAAAUGCCACGUUGCUAUGUGAACUGUGAAGGCAAAUCUACGUCCUCUCAAAGUAUGUAGCAAACGCGGAGCAUGACGUGACGGUACGAGGACGGAGAUACACCGUGAUGAUCAAACAGAUUCUUCCUAAAUCCUAAUCUGCACGCUAGCGAUUAAUUAAUUUCAAUUGAUUUCAAUUUUGGAUCAUUUACCUGAUUCAUUCAAAGGGACCUUACAAACGUACGUGUGAAUGCAUGCAUCCAGUGGAUUGGACCCAUGUGUUUCCUUCAUCUGAUUGAACCAGCCACAAGACCACAUGGGCGUCUUCCCUAUGUGCAGAUAAAACGUGUUUCAUGCUUCUAGCUCCGGCAUAAUUUUAAGAUUAAUGUAACAUACACACUCAACAACAACCACACAAAUGAUGGGCCCACACAAUUUAUGUGGUUGUUGUUGAGUGUGUAUAUUACAUUAAUUGUAACAUAGCAUUUGCCUAAUUUUAAUGGCCGUUGAAAAAUCCGAGGCCAAGCUCAAGAUUCAUGUGGUCGUCAAUAUUGCCAUUUAUCCUUCCACUCGACUGAUUACGAUGCUACCAAUUUGUGACUUGUUAUAAACUUAUACAAAAGAGUGGUUUAAUUAAGGUGAUCAACGUAUGACUUUAUAAGCUCAAAAUAUUGAAAAUGAAAGAAAAUUCUAGUUUAAUCACAAUAUUUUUGUGGUGAGGAUAAUUUUUCGGUCAGAAAAUAAUUGGUGGCAAAUUAAACUUAAUACCAUCAGUUCAAUACUUUUA
rnacentral:lncRNA from 1 species